rnacentral:rRNA from 1 species
AAGUGUAUCUGCUCGGUGGAUUAAAACAAAAAAUAAUUCUUUAAAAAAAUUUUAACAGCUGCUGUAUACUGACGGUAAUAAUGUAGGAAAAUAAUUAGUCAUUUAAUUAAUGAACGUAGAUGAAUGAUUGAACGAGUUUUCCGCUGUCUUAAUUGCAAUGGAACGGAAAUUUAUCUUAUAGUGAAGAAGCUAUAUAAAAUUGUAAGACGAGAAGACCCUGUAAAGCUUAACUAUACUUUUAUUUCACUAACCUUGAUUACCCGAUAAUUGAGAUAUGCAAAUAAAUAGGUAGUUUGGUUGGGGCAACAACAUUUUAAAAAAAAAAAAUGUAAUACUUAUUAUAAGUAGUAAAAUUAUUGUUUAAUUUAUCAAUUUAACAAUUAUAAAAUAGUAUUAAAUGACCUAUCUUGACAAAAAAAAAAGUAAGAUAAUUAAUAAAUAAAAGCUACUUCAGGGAUAACAGGUUAAUUUUAUUCUAGAGAAGAUAUCAAAAAUAAAGUUUGACACCUCGAUGUUGAAUUAAGUUAACCUUGUAUUGCAGGUGAUACAAAAGGUUGGUCUGUUCGACCAUUAAAAACUUACAUGAUUUGAGUUC